rnacentral:rRNA from 1 species
CCACCCUUGUAGUGUUGAUGUUCUAACGUCGACCCCUUAUCGGGGUUGCGGACAGUGCCUGGUGGGUAGUUUGACUGGGGCGGUCUCCUCCCAAAGAGUAACGGAGGAGCACGAAGGUGGGCUAAUCACGGUUGGACAUCGUGAGGUUAGUGCAAUGGCAUAAGCCCGCUUGACUGCGAGAAUGACAAUUCGAGCAGGUGCGAAAGCAGGUCAUAGUGAUCCGGUGGUUCUGAAUGGAAGGGCCAUCGCUCAACGGAUAAAAGGUACUCCGGGGAUAACAGGCUGAUACCGCCCAAGAGUUCAUAUCGACGGCGGUGUUUGGCACCUCGAUGUCGGCUCAUCACAUCCUGGGGCUGAAGUCGGUCCCAAGGGUAUGGCUGUUCGCCAUUUAAAGUGGUACGCGAGCUGGGUUUAGAACGUCGUGAGACAGUUCGGUCCCUAUCUGCCGUGGGCGUUGGAAGAUUGAAGGGGGCUGCUCCUAGUACGAGAGGACCGGAGUGGACGAACCUCUGGUGUUCGGGUUGUGUCGCCAGACGCAUUGCCCGGUAGCUAAGUUCGGAAUCGAUAACCGCUGAAAGCAUCUAAGCGGGAAGCGAGCCCUGAGAUGAGUCUUCCCUGAUACUUUAAGUAUCCUAAAGGGUUGUCGGAGACUACGACGUUGAU